ensembl:lncRNA
CAAAAUCUAUGUUGUACCUUGAAAAUACCUGUUUAGAACACCAAUGAUACCAAUAGUUUCGAGAUUAGGUACCACUUACAAGCCACUGACAAAACUGUGAGGAUUUGACUUUUAUUCCAGCUAAUUGGCUUUUACUUAGGCAUCAUUUGAAUGUUUUUAUUACAUUUCAUUCCUUAAAGCAGUGAUUUCUAACAAAUCUAAGAUUGUCCCAAAUUUUAUAGUUUGGCAUCUCUUGCAAUUAAAGAGGUUUCAAAGACAAUGUCUUUUGAUCUCUUUACACAAGUACUCACAUGAAAAAAGCAGCUCAUGGGGUCCUCAUUUUUUAGCUAGGGAUUGACUACAUGGCUUAAGCACAUAAGAGUUUAUUCUUUCUUAUUAAAAAAAAAAAACAAAACGGUAUUGACAAAAAAAAAAAAAAAAGCAGAACCUGAAAGCUAAGAAUUAGGUUUUACUUGGCUAACUAAACUGAGAACUUAAGCCUGGGACACAACCUCUCAUAUAGCUCUGACAGUCUGCUCCAAAGAAGUAAGGGAGGAGGCAGGAUCAGUUCAGUUCAGUCGCUCAGCUGUGUCCGAUUCUUUGCAACCCCAUGGCCUGCAGGCUUCCCUGUCCAUCACCAACUCCUGGAGUUUGCUCAGACUCAUGUCCAUCGAGUUGGUAAUGCCGUUGAACCAUCUCAUCCUCCCGGCAUUUCAUGUGAUGUAUUCUGCAUACAAGUUAAAUAAGCAGGAGCCAGGCAAUGGCAGCAGCAGCCCACUCCAGUCCUCUUGCCUGGAGAAUCCCAUGGAUGGAGGAGCCUGGUGGGCUGCAGUCCAUGGGGUCGCUAAGAGUCGGACAUGACUGAGCGACUUCACUUUGACUUUUCACUCUCAUGCAUUGGAGAAGGAAAUGGCAACCCACUCCAGUAUUCUUGUCUGGAGAAUCCCAGGGACAGGGAGCCUGGUGGGCUGCCAUCUAUGGGGUCGCACAGAGUCAGACACGACUGAAGUGACUUAGCUGCAGGAUAGAUAGGAGUUCUUACAACAAAGACCAGGUAGUGGGAACAUCAAAAGAUUAAUGUUAGCUAAAGAUAACCAAGUAUCUCAAGUUAAGGCAAGGAGCUUUUCUUUGUAUGGGAAGAUGCCAGAGUCUGGGUUCACUGAAAUCAUUCCUUUGAUACAUACCUCAGCUAUCUGGGGCCGGUCUCCUGAUUUCUCAUCCUGAGUCUCCACAGGGUAUAUCAUUG